rnacentral:rRNA from 1 species
CCAGCAGCUGCGGUAAUUCCAGCUCCAAUAGCGUAUACUAAAGUUGUUGCAGUUAAAAAGCUCGUAGUUGAAUUUCUGAUAUAAUAGGAUGAGUUUUGCUUUUCAUUAAGUAUUACUUCAUAUUCAUAUUAUAUCAUCAUCGAAAAGAUUAUAUUUGGUCAUUCAUUUGUCCAGUAUAAGAUUUUCGUCAUUUACUGUGAGUAAAAUAGAGUGUUCAAAGCAGGCUUAAGCUGUUGAAUAUAUUAGCAUGGAAUAAUAAUAUAAGACCUUGGUCUUUAUUUGUUGGUUUAUUUAUCGAGGUAAUGAUUAAUAGGGAUAGUUGGGGGUAUUCGUAUUCAAUUGUCAGAGGUGAAAUUCUUGGAUUUAUGGAAGACGAACAACUGCGAAAGCAUUUACCAAGGAUGUUUUCAUUAAUCAAGAACGAAAGU